rnacentral:tRNA from 1 species
AGUAGAAUGGCUGAGUAAUAGGUGAUAGAUUGUAAAUCUAUGUAGGGGAUAAAGUCCCUUCUGCUA